CAGCAGUGGGGAAUCUUGCACAAUGGAGGAAACUCUGAUGCAGCGAUGCCGCGUGAGUGAAGAAGGCCUUUGGGUUGUAAAGCUCUUUCGUCGGGGAAGAAAAUGACUGUACCCGAAUAAGAAGGUCCGGCUAACUUCGUGCCAGCAGCCGCGGUAAUACGAAGGGACCUAGCGUAGUUCGGAAUUACUGGGCUUAAAGAGUUCGUAGGUGGUUGAAAAAGUUGGUGGUGAAAUCCCAGAGCUUAACUCUGGAACUGCCAUCAAAACUUUUCAGCUAGAGUUUGAUAGAGGAAAGCAGAAUUUCUAGUGUAGAGGUGAAAUUCGUAGAUAUUAGAAAGAAUACCAAUUGCGAAGGCAGCUUUCUGGAUCAUUACUGACACUGAGGAACGAAAGCAUGGGUAGCGAAGAGGAUUAGAUACCCUCGUAGUCCAUGCCGUAAACGAUGUGUGUUAGACGUUGGAAAUUUAUUUUCAGUGUCGCAGCGAAAGCGAUAAACACACCGCCUGGGGAGUACGACCGCAAGGUUAAAACUCAAAUGAAUUGACGGGGACCCGCACAAGUAGUGGAGCAUGUGGUUUAAUUCGAAGAUACGCGCAGAACCUUACCAACACUUGACAUGUUCGUCGCGACUUUAAGAGAUUAAAGUUUUCGGUUCGGCCGGACGAAACACAGGUGCUGCAUGGCUGUCGUCAGCUCGUGUCGUGAGAUGUUGGGUUAAGUCCCGCAACGAGCGCAACCCUCACUUUUAGUUGCCAUCAUUUAGUUGGGCACUCUGAAAGAACUGCCAGUGAUAAGCUGGAGGAAGGUGG
rnacentral:rRNA from 1 species